UACGGUCACAUUACAUUGAAACACCGAUUCCCGUACGAUCACCGAAAUUAAGCAACGUUGAGCUUGGUCAGUACUUAGAUGGGUAACCGUUGGGAAUAUCAGGUACUGUAAG